CCUACAGUUUUUGAUAUUUGUAAGACCAGUGAAGUUUGGAGAAAGUAUAUUUAUUAUAUCACUGGAAUUGAUAUUAUGACUAACUAAUAAUAAUAUAAAUAUUUAUAUUUAUAUUAUUAUCAUUAUAUUGAUUAUUACAACUUUAUGUUACAAAUAUGAUUUCUUUUAUAAAAUGACUAUUUGAAUAUAUACAUCCAUAUACGUAUUGCUAUUGAAGUAUUUUGUUAUUAAUAUCGAAAUAAGUUUAAUUAUAGACGAUAAUUAUUAUUGUUGUUAGGAUUAUAAUUAUUAUUAUCAUUUAUAUAGUUUCUGGUAUGAUUAAUAUACACUAUCAAUAGUGUAUAUUUACGGAUUAGAUAGAAUUUAAUAAAUUAUGUGCCUUGAAUAGGAUUUGUAUGGAUUUGAUUGAUUGACUCUUGGUGAGCCGUUUUAAAAUAAGCUAAGGACCUAAGGUGUGGCUUUAGCUGUUGAGCAACUUGUGGAGCACGGACUCAGUAGCAAUGCAAUAAUAGUUUAGAGUUUUCAUAUGGCUGCCUUAAAUUUAAAGUAUUCAUACGUGUAAUAAUUUCUUCUAAUAAGUUUAUAUAAAAGUUUAAAUUUUUCUGUA